UAGUUAAAAAAGACGAUAAAGGGUUC
rnacentral:piRNA from 1 species